GCCUUCUUAGCUCUGCCCAUCUACCCUCUGCUUCUCGCUCCUAACUUGCCCUUUAGCUGGGUCCGGAAGGGCUUUUUUUGGUGUUCCCUCUCCAGAGCCUCACUUAGGUGGGAAAGAAUCAAGCAGGCCUAGGUCCUGCUUACAACUCCUAAUUUCUCCAAGGUCCUGUAUCCAUUGCUGGGUGUGGUGUCCGUGGUCUGGCCUCAUCUCUCUGUCUCAGCGCCAGGCCUUUUUCCUUUCAGAGUUCUGGAACUUGGUCAGCAGCUUCCUCUCAUGCCCACCAGGGCUGGGGCGGUUGGUGUUGGCAGCAGCUUCUCUCUUGGUACGUCCUUUCCGACCUCCACCGACUGAUUGGGCCAGGCUGUACUGGUCAUACUCAUCCAGGAUCCCAUCUUCGUCCUCUAUGUUUACAGGUUGCUGGGAAGUGUGGGCUGUUGGUGGCAAAGUGGCCAUCAUACCUGGUCUGCUUUCUCCAAAGUCUUGCCUGUUUUCC
rnacentral:lncRNA from 1 species